GAUGAACGCUGGCGGCGUGCCUAAUACAUGCAAGUCGAGCGAACAGACGAGGAGCUUGCUCCUCUGACGUUAGCGGCGGACGGGUGAGUAACACGUGGAUAACCUACCUAUAAGACUGGGAUAACUUCGGGAAACCGGAGCUAAUACCGGAUAACAUGUUGAACCGCAUGGUUCAACAGUGAAAGACGGUCUUGCUGUCACUUAUAGAUGGAUCCGCGCCGCAUUAGCUAGUUGGUAAGGUAACAGCUUACCAAGGCAACGAGGCGUAGCCGACCUGAGAGGGUGAUCGGCCACACGGGAACUGAGACACGGUCCAGACUCCUACGGGAGGCAGCAGUAGGGAAUCUUCGGCAAUGGGCGAAAGCCUGACGGAGCAACGCCGCGUGAGUGAUGAAGGUCUUCGGAUCGUAAAACUCUGUUAUUAGGGAAGAACAAAUGUGUAAGUAACUAUGCACGUCUUGACGGUACCUAAUCAGAAAGCAACGGCUAACUACGUG
rnacentral:rRNA from 1 species